rnacentral:rRNA from 1 species
GACGAACGCUGGCGGCGUGCUUAACACAUGCAAGUCGAACGGAAAGGCCCUGCUUUUGUGGGGUGCUCGAGUAGCGGACGGGUGAGUAACACGUGGAUAACCUACCUAUAAGACUGGGAUAACUUCGGGAAACCGGAGCUAAUACCGGAUAAUAUAUUGAACCGCAUGGUUCAAUAGUGAAAGACGGUUUUGCUGUCACUUAUAGAUGGAUCCGCGCCGCAUUAGCUAGUUGGUAAGGUAACGGCUUACCAAGGCAACGAUGCGUAGCCGACCUGAGAGGGUGAUCGGCCACACUGGAACUGAGACACGGUCCAGACUCCUACGGGAGGCAGCAGUAGGGAAUCUUCCGCAAUGGGCGAAAGCUUGACGGAGCAACGCCGCGUGAGUGAUGAAGGUCUUCGGAUCGUAAAACUCUGUUAUUAGGGAAGAACAAAUGUGUAAGUAACUAUGCACGUCUUGACGGUACCUAAUCAGAAAGCCACGGCUAACUACGUG